AAGGUAUUCAAAUUAGAGCUUGAUAGAAAGCAUUUCAUUUACACUGAAAAUUUAAUUGUGCAAUUCAAUUUAAUUUG
rnacentral:tRNA from 1 species